rnacentral:misc_RNA from 1 species
GGUGCCGAUUUCUGCCUUACGGGUAGAAUCCUUCCCACCCUUAAUAACUUACAUUGUUGCUUUGGCGGACGCUUCGGCAGCCGCCAGAGAACCCUAAACUCAUGUUUACAGUGUCGUCUGAGUACUAUAUAAUAGCUUAAAACUUUCAACAACGGAUCUCUUGGUUCUGGCAUCGAUGAAGAACGCAGCAAGGCAUCGAUGAAGAACGCAGCAGGGUUGUCCACCCCCCAGAAAUAA